CUAAAAGCAGAGACCAAGAGCAGAGACAAAUUCACAAGAUACAAGAAGAGAGAAGUGACGAAUGUGAUGACUGAGGAAACAAAAGGAGUUGGAACCAAGUCCCGGGAUUCUAGUACAGGUCAUUGGAAGGGGUGACUGACAGCAGAGCUGCUAUCUGUCAGUCAGGCUCUAAAACACCCCCCUCCCUAGGGAUGUCCUAUGCAAGACAGCUCUCCUUCUGUCAAGAAAAUGGCACUUCCUAUACUCCCACUUGAGAUGAAACCUGGAAAGAUGAAAUAAUUGGCCUAUUCUUGACCUGAACCUCUCUGAAGCUUUGGAAGCGUUCAGGAUCCCAUCCAAGAUACCAUACUACAUUUUGUCACCAAGUCUUCUUGGAGUCCUCUUGGCUGUGAUAGUUUGUUUGAAUUUUCUUGUUUUUGAUGACUGUAUAGUUUUCUUUUGCUGAAGUAAAG